rnacentral:rRNA from 1 species
AACCAUCGAGUCUUUGAACGCAAGUUGCGCCCGAGGCCAACCUGCCAAGGGCACGUCUGCCUGGGCGUCAAGC